rnacentral:lncRNA from 1 species
UUCGUGGUAAAAUUAUUUUCCUAAGCCAGAUAUUUUCGGAGAUAUUUAACGGGUAUACUGUUACAUUUUCCUUCCACAUUACAAUACGUCAUUAAUAUUUUUUUCUGCGCAUCCUCUUGCGCAGCGCAUGCUUCAACUUGGUUUUUUCGAAUGGAAGUGUAUUAUUUUUCUAACGGAAUCUGAUUCCGCCAAUUUUUUGUGAAAUUUUCGUGGUGAAAUUAUUUUCCUACGACCCUCCGGAGAUAUUUAGGAAUAAAGGAUCCAUUCAGAAAGGCAUAAUUUGUUGUCCAGGCAUUUCUAUGGACCAGGCAUUUUUCUUGAAAAUCAUUUUUCUCGAAAACUAUCAGGUAUACGUGAAGGGUAUACGUGAAAACUGUAAAACACGUGUCCUGUUACAUUUUCCUUCCACAUUACAAUCCGUCAUUAAUAUUUUUUUCUGCGCAUCCUCUUGCGCAGCGCAUGCUUCAACUUUGUUUUUUCGAAUGGAAGUGUAUUAUUUUUCUAACGGAAUCUGAUUCCACCAAUUUUUUGUGAAAUUUUCGUGGUGAAAUUAUUUUCCUACGACCCUCCGGAGAUAUUUAGGAAUAAAGGAUCCAUUCAGAAAGGCAUAAUUUGUUGUCCAGGCAUUUUUCUCGAAAACUAUCAGGUAUACGUGAA